rnacentral:tRNA from 3 species
GCGUCCAUAGCUCAGCUGGAUAGAGCACUGGUUUGCGGUACCAGCGGUCGGGAGUUCGAAUCUCUCUGGGCGUACCA